UUGGUGCCUUCGGGAACUGUGAGACAGGUGCUGCAUGGCUGUCGUCAGCUCGUGUUGUGAAAUGUUGGGUUAAGUCCCGCAACGAGCGCAACCCUUAUCCUUUGUUGCCAGCGGUCCGGCCGGGAACUCAAAGGAGACUGCCAGUGAUAAACUGGAGGAAGGUGGGGAUGACGUCAAGUCAUCAUGGCCCUUACGACCAGGGCUACACACGUGCUACAAUGGCGCAUACAAAGAGAAGCGACCUCGCGAGAGCAAGCGGACCUCAUAAAGUGCGUCGUAGUCCGGAUUGGAGUCUGCAACUCGACUCCAUGAAGUCGGAAUCGCUAGUAAUCGUAGAUCAGAAUGCUACGGUGAAUACGUUCCCGGGCCUUGUACACACCGCCCGUCACACCAUGGGAGUGGGUUGCAAAAGAAGUAGGUAGCUUAACCUUCGGGAGGGCGCUUACCACUUUGUGAUUCAUGACUGGGGUGAAGUCGUAACAAGGUAACCGUAGGGGAACCUGCGGUUGGAUCACCUCCUUA
rnacentral:rRNA from 1 species